rnacentral:misc_RNA from 1 species
UGCUCUCGCAUCGAACUACUUACCACCUAUCCUUUUCAGUUGGUUCACGAGCUACGAUACGCUCGAUGAUCGGUUCCGGGGCCUGUGUUGCGUACCUACCUAGAAGGUAUUGUUGAGUUUGGUUGCCUCCCUUGUGUCCGCGGCAUUUCCUAUGCGGGAGAAGUCGUGGACACGAAAACCGGCUCUUGUUUUCCUUUCGACGUUGCAUCCUUUGCCUCGUCGCAKUGGGGAAUAAGCUGCUGUUAGAAAUCUCGGAUGCGGAAAAGUUAUCGACGGUGACUCGAAGCGAUUCAGUCCCGCCAAAGCAUAUCUGUCCCUCGGACAAAAGAUGAUGGUCGUGACCUCGUUCGUUCAUUCUUUCUUUAGCGUUAGUUUGAGCGUGGCGGGGAAUCGCCGUGAUCGAUGAUUGCUACCUGGUUGAUCCUGCC